CAAAACACAACCUCUAGUAAUCCUUGCCAACUCGCCCGUUCCCCCUCGCAUGGCGCCGCCGCUCGCCGCGGCCCUCCGCCGCCACGUCCUCCGGCUUCUCCUCCCCCACUCUCGGCGUCUCUGCCUACUCGCCGCCCACUCCCAUUCCGACCACAGCGACUUCGAGCACGACUACCCCCUGCCCCCGGCCCGCGCCCCCGACGGUGACGGGGACGGCGAGCUCACCGCCUUCCUCCGCCGCCUCUACGACGCCAAAACCGCCGCGUCCUCCCCGAAGCACGCGCUGUCGCUCCUCCUGUCCUCGCCGCCCUCGUCGGCCCCGGCCCAGGCAUCGCGCGACCUCCUCGUCCGCGCGCUCUGGGAGCUCCGCCGCGACCCUGACGUGGCGGCGCUCGCGCUCCGGUGGGGGGAGGAGUGCGCCAGCUCCUCCGGGGAGUGUGCGGGGCCCCCGCCGCCGGCCGAGGCGUGGCACCUGGCCAUAUGGGCCGCGGGGAAGGCCCGGCGGUUCGACCUGGCGUGGGCGGUCGUGCGCCGCAUGCUGCGCCGCGGGGUGCUCACCAGCCGCGCCAUGGUCAUCGUGAUGGAGAGGUAUGCAGCUGCCAAUGAAGUGAAAAAAGCAAUCAGGACAUUUGACGCAAUGGAGAAGUUUAAAACAGAAGCAGACCAAACUGCAUUUUACUCCCUUCUUCGUGCUCUUUGCAAAAAUAAAAACAUAGAGGAUGCUGAGGAAUUGCUUCUUGUGAGAAAGAAAUUCUUCCCACUUACUACAGAAGGUUUCAACAUAAUUCUAGAUGGUUGGUGUAAUAUAAUCACUGAUAUAGCUGAAGCAAAGAGAGUUUGGAGAGAAAUGUCAAAUUACUGCAUUACUCCUGAUGGCACAUCUUAUAUCCUCAUGGUCAGUUGUUUUGCAAAAGUUGGAAACCUUUUUGAUACCCUGAGGGUUUACGAUGAGAUGAAAAACAGGGGUUGGAUUCCUAGUAUUGCUGUUUAUAAUUCACUUAUCUAUGUCCUGACAAAAGAGAACUGCAUGAAGGAUGCACAGAAUAUAUUCACUAAAAUUGUUGAUGAAGGUCUCCAACCAAAUGUCGAAACCUACAACAGUAUGAUAGUUCCAUUAUGUGAAAGUCGCGAUCUUGAUAAAGCAAGGAUGGUGUUGGAAGACAUGAUGCUGAAAGGAAUUGUUCCAACUAUUUUGACAUACAAUACAUUUUUGAGACAAGAAAGCAUCGAUGAAACUAUGAUUCUCUUGAGAAAAAUGAAGCAAGAUCGCUGUGGCCCUAAGAGUGAUACAUUUCUCAUGCUUAUUGAUAGAUUUUUUCAAUUGAAUGAGCCUGGAAAUGCUUUGAAGCUCUGGAAUGAAAUGAAAAGAUAUGACAUCACCCCUUCUUGUUCACACUAUAUGUCAGUUAUCCAAGGUCUGAUCAAACAAGGAUGCAUGGAAAGAGCUUUAGAGUAUUAUGAUGAAAUGAAGGAAAAUGGCUUUGCUUCUGAUCCAAAACUUGAAAAGGAGUUCAGAACCUUUUUGUUGGCCAACAGAGACCAUUGGAGAGGAAGUGGCAAAUAUAAUAUUAUUCCACAGCGUAGCAAACAUUUUGCUAGACGGUAAAGAAUUCGGUGAUAAAUGCUGUACCAUUAAAUGUUCUUCUAAUUGUUAUUAUCAUCAUGGAGACUUCAUUAACAAAGAGUUUGUUGAAUAUGAAGAAUCCGCAGUUCAGUACAUGCUGAAGAAAAUAUGAUAAGGGAGCUAUCUUGUUGGACUUGGGCAUCAUAUUGCUAAUCAAUGGGAUAAUUCUGUGGCUGCCCGCGUAUUAUCCAUCAGGUUACUUUCAGUUGGGCUGGCCAUCAUUACGUUAACCAUUUCAGUUGUAUGUAAAGACAGCAGCUCCUCAGAUGAGCAUAAUAAAAUUGAUGGUAUCCUUCAUUUUAUUAAUGCUGCUGGAUCUCACACUUAUGUUUCAGAUACACACACAAACACAAUAUUUCAAAAAUAAGUUAAUCUCCAUUUGAUUAACUAUCUCAGUUUCCAUUUGAAGCCAAGCAAAUCAGCCAGUUGCAAGUAGAGUCAGCUUUCAGUAAUAGAACAGAUAUGAAAUGCACAAGUGGCUGUCAACAAGCUGGUGCAUGCCUUCAGAUGAUUUCUGGUCCAAAUCAUGGAUGAAUCCAUAGAGUUAAGAGAGAUGGGGUACGAGUCAGAUGGAGACAACUCAUAGGAUUAGGUUUGAUCCUACUGUCGAGACUGCCUAUGGAUGGGAGCCGCCGCUUUGCCAGAUCAAAACUAGUCUAGUUGUUUAUCUUUUUCCGCUGCAUUCGAAGACUAUUUUAUUUGUUUGUAAGAAGUGGAACUGUAAGUUAACUUUGUCGAUUGUGUACUCCGUCUGGUCAUGUAUGAGGAUUUAAUACAUAUUUAGUUUGGAAAUUCUGGUUUGGAAUAUAUAAGUGUGACAAGUUGGUCUCAGAGCCAAUCUUGAUCUUAGGAUGAGCCAAAUGAAAAACAGAGCCCUCUGA